CAAAACACAUCCCUAGAAGUUAGGGUUCCCUAAACGCCUCAAUCUCUUCAUUUCCUAAUUCCGCCUCCUCGCUUAUAUCAAGCAAAGCUUUUCCAAUCUGAUUUGUGUUCCAAUUGUGGUUGAACAAAAGAUUUUGACUCAUAUUGUUGUGGAUCAUCAACAUGAUGAUUUGUGUUUUCCGGUACAAUGGGUUGUGCACUUUCUGUUUUGCUUCUCGAAGCCAUCUGAUGGGGGAUGACUUAUUCACUAGGUAGGGCUGCUUCAUUAAACUUCCUUUGUUGCCUUGUACUCUGUUUACUUCUUCUACUUUUCUCCAGGUGGUGCUCGACAGGGGUGCAUGGGUAGCUUUAUUCCGCCACUUCCAACUAGUGAUAAGUGCUUUCUCUAGGUUUAAGUUCUUGAACAUUAUAACCCCCAUUUUGCCGAGUCCUUUUUGUUGGCUGAGAUAGCCUAGGCUAAUUAGCAUUCCACAUCUUUUGUCCCCCUGUGGCUUUUGUAAAUACUAUAAUUGUGAAAACUUAAUGCUUUAGCCUCCCCUUCCCCAUUAGCUCCUUAAUGGUGAUAUCCUUAAGUAUGGGCUCUGACUUUUAUCAUUGUUUAAGAUUCUCUUAUUGUCUAGUUCCUGGCUAUUAAAAUCUCCAUA